CCUACGGGAGGCAGCAGUAGGGAAUCUUCCGCAAUGGACGAAAGUCUGACGGAGCAACGCCGCGUGAGUGAUGAAGGCCUUCGGGUCGUAAAACUCUGUUGUGAGGGAAGAACCAGUACNAUUCGAAUANGGCGGCACCUUGACGGUACCUCACCAGAAAGCCACGGUAA
rnacentral:rRNA from 1 species